rnacentral:rRNA from 1 species
GUACGGGGGUGCAAGCGUUGUCCGGAAUCAUUGGGCGUAAAGAGUUCGUAGGUGGUAUGUUAAGUCUGGUGUUAAAGGCGGAAGCUCAACUUCCGUAGGGCACUGGAUACUGGCAAACUUGAAUGCGGUAGAGGUAAAGGGAAUUCCUGGUGUAGCGGUGAAAUGCGUAGAUAUCAGGAGGAACAUCGGUGGCGUAAGCGCUUUACUGGGCCGUAAUUGACACUGAGGAACGAAAAGCCGGGGUAGCAAAUGGGAUUAGAUACCCGUGUAGU